AGUGAACGCUGGCGGUAGGCCUAACACAUGCAAGUCGAACGGCAGCACAGUAAGAGCUUGCUCUUACGGGUGGCGAGUGGCGGACGGGUGAGGAAUACAUCGGAAUCUACUUUUUCGUGGGGGAUAACGUAGGGAAACUUACGCUAAUACCGCAUACGACCUACGGGUGAAAGCAGGGGAUCUUCGGACCUUGCGCGAUUGAAUGAGCCGAUGUCGGAUUAGCUAGUUGGCGGGGUAAAGGCCCACCAAGGCGACGAUCCGUAGCUGGUCUGAGAGGAUGACCGGCAAACCUGAAACUGAGACACGGCCAAAACCCGUAGGGGGGGAGGAAGGGGGGAAUUUUGGGCAGUGGGCGCAACCCUAACCCGACCAACCCGCGUGGGUAAAGAAGGCUUUCGGGUUGUAAACCCCUUUUGUGGGGAAAAAAAAGCGGCAGUUUAAUCCCCCGCUGUUUUGGCGGUACCAAAAAAAAAAGCACCGGCAAACUUCGU
rnacentral:rRNA from 1 species